ensembl:lncRNA
ACCAGAACUGAGGUGUGGGGUCUUGUAGUUUGGGGUUUUGUAGGGAACAGCCUUGGAUUUCCUACUAGAGAAUUUCCUGCAAGACCCUUGGGAAGUAGUGUGAGGCUGAGGUGGCCACGGGCUCCCUGCCCUGGAGCAGAGGCAUCUUGACUGAGCCUCAGUGUCUCAGUCCUCAGAGUCUGAGGACACUGCUCGGGACCCUGCCUGGCUCACAAAACCCUGCUGAGACUCGACAAAUGACGUUAGACAAUAUAUUUCACUUUUCUGAAUCCGCUUCCUUUUUGUCCUGUAAGGUAACACUGCCUGCUCAACAGGGUUGUUGAGAAACGUCUUUAUAACCUGCUGCAGACAACUUUGAUUCUUUGUUGCUCUUCUACUCGGGAGCUCUGCUCUCUUCCUCAUGACAGUUAAGCCAUUAAUCCUCCGAGAACCCUGUGAGAGGGGUUGGUCUCGUCAGCCGUAUUUUAUAGAUGAGGAAACUGGGAUACAAGGAGGUUAAAUGAAAUGAAAGGACCCAGCAUUUUGUGGCAGAGCCAGGCUUCAACUCGAGAUCUCUGGUUCCAGAGGCCUCAGCUCUCUUCGAAACAGUGGUUUAUGAUGUUCACCUAGAAUCAGAGUCACACACUUAUCCUGGUUCAUCUCCAGGCUUCAGUACCUAUUCGCUUCCCGUGUUCACACACACACACACACACCCUUGCUGAUUAAAAAAAAAAAAAUUUGGCCUCAAAGUGUAUUUGCUUCAAGCAAGUUGAAUUGAAAAAGCAAAACACAUUCUGGCAACUCGCCUUUCCUUUUAUAUCGCACAUUUACAAAAUAAAAGGAAUCCAACUCAACUGCUUGGUUUCCCACUUUUCUCGGAUCUGCAGGUCCUGGCUGGCCAGAAGCUUUCUGAAUGACUGUGUUUCCAUUCAGUGUGGUUGGACAGCAUGCCGAAGAAUCUCAGAGAUUUUCGGUUGGAAUGAUGGUGGCAGGGCAACCGCACAUUCUUAGAGUCUUGCAAGUGAACUUUUGCCCCCUUAAUCAUGGGACAGACACAGAGGUCCAGCGGACUUUCUUCCUUUACCUCCCGCCUGCGGGGCCGUGCCCUGCUUUGUUGCUCUGCUCGGUUCUAUGUACGUGUUCCCAGCAUGGCAUAACCUCUGAGAUUUUGCAGAGACUGACACAUCUCCAAGAAUGUGCCACAUGGAUCUAGAGCAAUGGUUUUCAGCCAGGAAAGAUUUCACCUUCCUCCUCCAACCACAGCCAUUUGGCAACCGCUGGAGACAACUUUUGAGUUGUCACAGCUGUGCUCCUGAACAUCCCGAAAUGCACAAGACGGCCCCCCACAAUAAAAGGUUGUACAGUCGCAAAUGCCAUUAGGUCCACUGUGGUGGAACCUCAAUCUAGACUCUCUGUAGUCCCUUCUUUGAAAGCCAUUUCUCGGGAAAGGGCACUGAGUCAGAGUUGACAUGUUUACAAGCACCUCCUGCAGCUCACACCUGGGAAAUGCCAAUAAAAACCAAAUCUGAUGCCACUGCACACCUUGCAAAAAGGAUCCCAUGAAAGGGAAGGGAAAUACUAAUUCUUAGCAAGCUUCAAAACCAGCUGAACUUUCCUAACACCACUUGGACAAACUCUUUGGCUGUAUCAAAUAAAGCCGUGAAUAUGUCCACCCUGCAGAAUCCAGCGAUCGCACUCCUAGGUUUAUAGCCCUCAGAAACAUGUGUGUGUUCACCAAAAGCAUGCCCUGGCAUGUUCAGGGCAGCACUGCUUCAACAACCUAGAUGCCCUUCAGUUGCAGAAGGGGUACAGGCAUUGCUCUCUCUUCAUGCAGUUGCACACUAGAGAAAAACAAGGGGUGUCAAAGACCUCCAGCAACGCCCGGUAAUGAGACUGAACAAAAAUAAUGUUGCGUGAAAGGAGGCAGACCUGCAGAAAAAGAAAUCAUAGUCUGUGAUCCUCUUUAUAUAGAGAGCAAAAUAGGCCAAACUGGUACCUGCUGUUUUAAGUCAGGAGAGUCGUCGUCCUUGGUUGAGAGGCAGUGACUGGGAAGGAGCAUGAGGAGGACGCUGAGGGGCUGGUCGCCUUCUGUGUCUUGGUCUGGGUGCUGCUUACACAAGUGUGUUCAACUUUGUGAAAAGUCACAGCACUGCGUACUUUUGGCAUAUGCACUUUUCUAAAUGUAGAUUAUUCUUCAGUACAAUUUUUUGAAUGUGCAGCUGGUGCUCUGGAGAGUAGAAUGGGCAUUGGAAAUUUCUACUAAUUCUUUGCAUUUUAUUUUAUUUUAUUUUAUUGUGGCAUGUGGAAGUUCUGGGCCAAGGGAUUGAACUCGUGCCACAGCAGUAUCUGAGCUGCUGCAGUGCCACCGCUGGAUCCUAACCCACUGUGCCACACAAGAACUUCUUUCCCUUUCAUUUUAAUGUAGACUGGUCCAGUGUCAUCUCAAAAUGCCCAGGGGUCAGCACUGAGGAACCCAGAGGAGGGUGGAGGCGGAUGUCUUCUCUCCAGGAGACCUGGUUGAGCAGGACAGCCUGGGGUGCUGAUGAAAAAAUUCCUUUGAGAGCAACGUCCCUGAACAAAUGAAGAAUCAAAUAUCAACUUCAGAGUCCGUGCUUAAGAAGGGCAGGCGUUGGGCAGCACCACCCAGUCCACAGGGGUCAGGGUGGUGGUAUCUUGAUCGCAUCACUGGAUGGGAAUGAGGAAGCUUUAGGCAGAGGAUUGCUAACAAGUAUCAAAGUCUGUUUUGCAAAGAGACUUUGCUUGUACAUAAUUGUGUUGAUGCCUGGCCUUAUCGUCUGUCUCUCUCUUUCUCUCUGUGUCUCUUAAUGGCCAGGGAGACCAUGAACGUGCCUUGAAUGUAGGCCGAAUUCUCGUUUAUUUCGGUUUGUUAAUCCUUAGCCGUCAAAUACAUUGAGCAUCUGCUGGUUGUUUUUUGUUGUUGGUGGUGGUGGUUGGUUUUGUGUGGUUAGCUAUGUGAUGCUAGGAAGUUACUUAAUUUUCUUUUUGCUUCAAUUUUCUUAUGUGUCAAGGGAGGAUGUGGAUAGUAUUAAAAAGGCAAAAAUGCUCUACUUAAGGUUGAUAUUUACUAUACUUACUAACAUAAAGUUCUACUACUACUAAUAACUCUAGAAAACUGAUUUCAUGUGCAAUUAUAGGAUCCCAAGCAACACUUUCCAAAGUUCCCUCUUUGCAGCUCUCCACUGAAAAGUCAUUUUCCCUCAGUUCUUUCUGUCCAGUCCCCUUCACAGACCUGUGCUCUGAUCGCGUGGGGCGUUUGUAAGUGAUGGGAGUUCUGGAGGGAGGGAGGCACCUUGCCUGGAAGCCACGAAGGCACACAGUGUACAGUGUGUCACACCAGUGUUAGUACUGGCGACUGCAUAGAGCCCGUCAUUUUAGCCCUAGAGAAAGGUCCCGCUGUUGAAGGCUCGUGUAGGCAAAUAACAUAUUUUAAAUGUUGUACAGCAUAUGGAAAUUUCUAUUACUGCAAACAUUUGGUUUGGUUCUGUGCCUGUUCAACCUAUUGCCCAUUUCUAAAUUAACUGUCUUCUAAAUGGAGCACAGUUAUGAAUCAUGUCCCCACGUUCUCGGUGGGUGGAGGGUGCCGCACAGCCGCACGCGUGGACCCAAGCCCCGAGUCAGUUUCUUACGCAAAGCCAAGAGGUGAGCUGCGGGAGGGGGCGCGGGCGCGCUAGCGGUUUGCUCAGUAUAUGUUGCACUUGCCAAGCUCUUGACCCUCCCAGAAGCAAGAGGAGAGCAGAACCUUGCAGCUCCCCAGUUUCCCCUCCCUGCUGAUUCGCAUGUCCUUCAUUUGUGAGACUGAUCUCCUGGUGGAAAGAACUGGGGAUGGGUCAUUCAUGCUACCUCUGCGUUGGUGUCUUUCUAAAAAGUAUAGUCUUCUUAUAAGAAAAAAAGGUACUGUUAGUUUGAAUCCACUUUCUGGAGUGGAUUUCUUUUCAUGUUCACAUUUUCAGUGUUAAAAAGAGUAAUGGAUAAGCAGUGAGGUCCUACUGCACAGCACAGGGAACUCUAUGCAAUCUUUUGGAAUAGAACGUGAUGGAGCAUAAUAUGAGAAAAAGAAUGCGUAUGCAUGUGUAUGUAUGUACAUCUGUGUGUAUACAUACAUGUAUAUAUAUAUAUGUAAAACUGGGUAACUGCUGUACAGCAGAAAUUGACACAACACUGUAGAUCUGUACGUUAAUAAAAAAGAAGGAUGGUAUAUUUGGAAAAUCUGAGAGUAAAAAGCACAUGUCAGGACAUAAAAUAUUUCCCAUAAGAUGAUGAAUACCUGGGAGUUUUUUAUACGAUUUUUGAGACAUGUGAGAACAUUUUCAUUAUAAAGAUUACCCGUACAUUUAUCAUCUGGAUUGUAUCACUAUUAGUAUUUCUAUAUGGUUUCAUUACAUCUUCUCCCUAUCAGUUUUAACUCGCUAAUUUCUGUUAUAUCCCCUGGCUGUUUGUUCCAACUACCUGCUAAAACUUGGCAACCCUUGAGUCUCACCUGCUGGUGUUUAUAAACACGGGGAUAAUCUCAGCUGUUGUCAGGAGAGUAGGCUUUAAAUCCCCACAUGAAAAUAAAUUAAAAAAAAUGCGCAGAGUGAUAUAGCGUUCCAGUGUUGGGAUCAUCCUUAAGCAUCGGGCCUGCUGUCUGGUCCAGGAGUGUGUAGCAUCUCAGUAGAGGAGCAGACGAGAGGUGAUGUGGUAUCGGAAAGCUCUUGGCCUCACAUAUCAGGAGUUGCAAAGUGAGCCCACACCAGCCUGCAUCGAGACUCAGGUUUGCUUUUCUUCCCAAGUAGCUUUUGAACCUUAAGUCUCCAUCCUGGGUGUUAACUGUCGAUUCUGCCCCUGCCCCUUCCGGGAAAGGGCAGUGCACUGUUUCCUUGUCCUUAUCAGGCUGUGUGUCAUCCUUGCCAGGCCAAGAUCCUGCUCAGGUCCCAAACCUGCAUCACUGAAAAAGUUGGCAAAGAAAACACAUUAAUCUGGGUUGCUAAUUGUACCACACGAGACUCAAAGGGAAACCCAAAGGGUUUUUAUUUUCUGCUGACUGGGAAAGAAGACCGUGUCUCCCCAGAGCCACUGCUCCAAGACAGGGAACUGCUGAUCCCUCAUUGCCCAUUGGGUUGGUCAACUUUCGUACAGUCUUUGGAGGUUCAGAGCCGUGGGGGUGGUUACAGCUGAAGGCAGUCAAUAGGGAUGACCGAGCGUUUACUGCCGCGCUCACCCAUGGCCUUGGGAUUUGGGAAAUUCCAUCUGGUCCUGAGCAUCACGCGGCUUAACCUCUGUCCCAGUUUCUUCGAGCGCAGAGACCAUUUCUUUGUUCUGCGGCAUCAAGGUGAUUCCACCUAAGGAAUAAAGGGUGUUCUGUUUAUUAAAGAAGCAGCGGAUGGAGGCCUUGGGCAAAUGUGCAAGAGGAUACAUUUCAUCUUUGGCACCCCUGCUUUCCUUCAAAGAACCCAGUUGGCCUCGGCUGCCCUUGGAGUUGAGGCUGACUGAGCUCUGCUGCUGCUUCCCACUCAGGCUCGCCCUCACUGGGAAGGUUGUCCUCUAUUGCUGCUCUGUUGUCUCACCUUAACUCGCAUAUGUUGGAGAGAGGUAGUGUAGGUUACAUGUUAAGCUGCCACUCCUUUUCCUUCUUUGAUGGCUUGAAUAAGAAUCAAGUUCUGUCAAUUUUUUCUCUUUUGGCUGCUCCCUCAGCCUGGGUAGCUCCUGAGCUAGGCAUCAAACCCAUGCCACAGCAGUGACCCAAGUGACCCUGCUAAAUCCUUAACCCACUGAGCCACAAGGGAACUCCCAAGUUCUAUCAAUUCUUAGAUGAGGCUGGACAAGUUAUCAGAGCUCAGUUUUCUCAUCUGUAAAGUUUGGUUAAUGAUAAUGGCUACUUCAUAAUACCAUUAUAAGGAAUAAAUUGGUUCAGACCUGCACUAGUACUCAGGAACGUGUCGGCAUGUAGAAACCAACUGGUGUGGUUAUUUCUUAUUACCUUUUUUUUUGUCUUUUUGCCUUUUCUUGGGCUGCACCCGCAGCAUAUGGAGGGUCACAGGCUAGGGGCGAAUCGGAGCUGUAGCCACCAGCCUAUAGCACAGGUAGGAACAACACGGCAACUCGGGAUCCGAGCUGCAUCUGCGAUCUACACCACAGCUCAUGGCAGCACCAGAUCGUUAACCCACUGAGCAAGGCCAGGGAUCGAACCUGCAACCUCAUGGUUCCUAGUCGGAUUCGUUAACCGCUGCGCCACGAUGGGAACUCCAAUUCUUAUUACAUUUUUAAUCUCCUUGAGGAAGAUCUCCUCUUAAGGGCUUGAUGUAGUUCAGAGCUGCUCAGCAGUUUCCUCUGGUCUGUAUAUGACACAGGUCAGAUGUCCAAACGGGGUACCCAGGCUUCCAGUCCUGUGGUAGAUAAAAUCCCUCAAAUCACAAGAUAUUUAAACUGAAAGGAAAUAGGUUAAUGUAAUAUUUUUAUUUUUUAAACCUGUUUUCACGUUUAUUCUUCAAGCAUUGUGUUCCUUAUUUCCCCAAAUCACUGACGGUAGUAUUUUCAGGAUUCAUUGAGAAAGACACGUGAGAUUAUUUGGAAACGUCUUGAAAUAUCCUAUAUAGGCAGCAACCUGUCCUGCUUUUAUGAAGCUAUAAGAAAGCAGGGUUGACACGACAUGGAAGUAAAUUUUACUCUAUUUUAGAUCUUCUGAAUUCACCAUUUAAACCUUGAAUGCUGCCUUCUAUCCAGGUUCUAGAUGCCCAGAAAAAAGUCAGAAGUCAUGACCAAAAAAAA